rnacentral:rRNA from 1 species
AACGAACGCUGGCGGCAGGCUUAACACAUGCAAGUAGAGCGCCCCGCAAGGGGAGCGGCAGACGGGUGAGUAACGCGUGGGAAUCUACCCAUCUCUACGGAAUAACGCAUGGAAACGUGUGCUAAUACCGUAUACGCCCUUCGGGCGAAAGAUUUAUCGGGGAUGGAUGAGCCCGCGUGGGAUUAGCUAGUUGGUGGGGUAAAGGCCUACCAAGGCGACGAUCAGUAGCUGGUCUGAGAGGAUGAUCAGCCACACUGGGACUGGGACACGGCCCAGACUCCUAGGGGAGGCAGCAUUGGGGAAGAUUGGAUGAUGGGGGCAAGCCUGAUCCAGCCGUGCCACGUGAGUGAUGAAGGCCUUAGGGUUGUAAAGCUCUUUUGUCCGAGACGAGAAUGACGGUACCGGAAGAAUAAGCCCCGGCUAACUUCGUGCCAGCCGCCGCCGUAAAAC